UACGUAGGGUGCGAGCGUUACUCGGAAUUACUGGGCGUAAAGCGUGCGCAGGCGGUUUUGUAAGUCCGAUGUGAAAUCCCCGGGCUCAACCUGGGAAUGGCAUUUGGGACUGCAAGGCUCGAGUGCGGCAGAGGAGACUGGAAUUCCUGGUGUAGCAGUGAAAUGCGUAGAUAUCAGGAGGAAUACCGAUGGCGAAGGCAGGUCUCUGGGCUGACACUGACGCUCAUGCACGAAAGCGUGGGGAGCAAACAGG
rnacentral:rRNA from 1 species